UACCAGCUGUACAUGGACAGUGGAACACGCACGGUAUGGUCUGUGUUUGUCUCUCAAUGUCUGGUGUUACAGGGAUGUGUGUAACACAGGGUGGGGCACUUGACAGUUGACCGCCUAGUCUGAGAGUUUUAUAGGAGGCUGACUACACUAAUACUUGUCAUGUGUUCUUGUUCAUCUUCUAGUCAAGCUAGCCAAGCAGGUCAUAACUACAUUGUACGGUAAUGAACCUUUUGACAACUGUUCAUUUACACAACUGAUUCAAGGAAGAGGAUUCUACAACUACACCAUACUUGUUAAUCCUCCUUCUACUGCAGGAUUUUCACACAGUGUUAUGAUAGUUGGCACAGCCACAGAAGUCACAUCCACGGAAGUCACAGCCACGGAAGUCACAGCCACAGAAAUCACAGCCACGGAAGUCACAACCACAGAGGUCACAGCCACAGAAGUCACAGCCACGGAAGUCACAGCCACAG